rnacentral:misc_RNA from 1 species
CAGAGUUGCAAAACUCCCCAACCCUUGUGAAUCUUACCCGUACGGUUGCCUCGGCUGGGUCGGAAGGCCUCGGGCCCCCGGAUCCGGGUCUCCGCUCAGGGAGGCUGCCCGCCGGAGGCCGAACCAAACUCUUGAUAUUUUAUGUCUCUCUGAGUAACUUAUAAAUAAGUCA